rnacentral:rRNA from 1 species
AUUGAACGCUGGCGGAAUGCUUUACACAUGCAAGUCGAACGGCAGCACGGACUUCGGUCUGGUGGCGAGUGGCGAACGGGUGAGUAAUAUAUCGGAACGUGCCCAGUCGUGGGGGAUAACGUAGUGAAAAUUACGCUAAUACCGCAUACGAUCUAUGGAUGAAAGCGGGGGAUCGCAAGACCUCGCGCGAUUGGAGCGGCCGAUAUCAGAUUAGGUAGUUGGUGAGGUAAAGGCUCACCAAGCCGACGAUCUGUAGCUGGUCUGAGAGGACGACCGGCCAAACUGGAACUGAGACACGGUCCAGACUCCUACGGGAGGCAGCAGUGGGGAAUUUUGGACAAUGGACGCGAGUCUGAUCCAGCCAUUCCGCGUGCAGGACGAAGGCCUUCGGGUUGUAAACUGCUUUUGUACAGAACGAAAAGGUCUCUAUUAAUACUAGGGGCUCAUGACGGUACUGUAAGAAUAAGCACCGGCUAACUACGUGCCAGCAGCCGCCGUAA